rnacentral:rRNA from 1 species
AUUGAACGCUGGCGGCAGGCCUAACACAUGCAAGUCGAACGGUAACAGGAAGAAGCUUGCUUCUUUGCUGUCGAGUGGCGGACGGGUGAGUCAUGUCUGGGAAACUGCUUGAUGGAGGGGGAUAACUACUGGAAACGGUAGCUAUUACCGCAUAUCGUCGCAAGACCAAAGAGGGGGACCUUCGGGCGUCUUGCCAUCGGAUGUGCCCAGGUGGGAUUAGCUAGUAGGUGGGGUAACGGCUCACCUAGGCGACGAUCCGUAGCUGGUCUGAGAGGAUGACCAGCCACACUGGAACUGAGACACGGUCCAGACUCCUACGGGAGGCAGCAGUGGGGAAUAUUGCACAAUGGGCGCAAGCCUGAUGCAGCCAUGCCGCGUGUAUGAAGAAGGCCUUCGGGUUGUAAAGUACUUUCAGCGGGGAGGAAGGGAGUAAAGUUAAUACCUUUGCUCAUUGACGUUACCCGCAGAAGAAGCACCGGCUAACUCCGUG